UUAAAGAUUCUGCAGCAAACU
rnacentral:miRNA from 1 species